rnacentral:rRNA from 1 species
UGCAAGUCGAGCGGCAGCACGGGUACUUGUACCUGGUGGCGAGCGGCGGACGGGAGAGUAAUGCCUAGGAAUCUGCCUGGUAGUGGGGGAUAACGCUCGGAAACGGACGCUAAUACCGCAUACGUCCUACGGGAGAAAGCAGGGGACCUUCGGGCCUUGCGCUAUCAGAUGAGCCUAGGUCGGAUUAGCUAGUUGGUGAGGUAAUGGCUCACCAAGGCGACGAUCCGUAACUGGUCUGAGAGGAUGAUCAGUCACACUGGAACUGAGACACGGUCCAGACUCCUACGGGAGGCAGCAGUGGGGAAUAUUGGACAAUGGGCGAAAGCCUGAUCCAGCCAUGCCGCGUGUGUGAAGAAGGUCUUCGGAUUGUAAAGCACUUUAAGUUGGGAGGAAGGGCAGUUACCUAAUACGUAAUUGUUUUGACGUUACCGACAGAAUAAGCACCGGCUAACUCUGUGCCAGCAGCCGCGGUAAUACAGAGGGUGCAAGCGUUAAUCGGAAUUACUGGGCGUAAAGCGCGCGUAGGUGGUUCGUUAAGUUGGAUGUGAAAUCCCCGGGCUCAACCUGGGAACUGCAUUCAAAACUGACGAGCUAGAGUAUGGUAGAGGGUGGUGGAAUUUCCUGUGUAGCGGUGAAAUGCGUAGAUAUAGGAAGGAACACCAGUGGCGAAGGCGACCACCUGGACUGAUACUGACACUGAGGUGCGAAAGCGUGGGGAGCAAACAGGAUUAGAUACCCU